CAGUGCUGGUGGAGUGUCACUUUGCUUAUUAGCCUCAGAGACACUGCAGAACAAUUGAUUACAAUAGGUUAUAUAGGAUUUUUAUAGGCGGGUAAAGGAA